rnacentral:lncRNA from 1 species
UGACAUCAAUGGGUCCCUUAGGUAGAUGAAGCAACCUGCAUCAAUGGAGCCCACUUAGCUAGCAUAGUUUCCACCAUGAAUACAUCUUUGCCACGCCCAUCCUUUUGCCCACGACAGAAAUUGAAAGGCUAUCGUUCGAAAGUUAUGGAUUUUUUAUUUUUUUUUCUAUUAUUACAAAUAUUUUGAUUCUUUUGUACCUUUGAGAGGCCAUUUGUAUUGGCAAAUUGUUGGUCAAAGGCAAUGAAGCACUACUAUCAACCUCAAGCUAUCCCCUUCAU